rnacentral:rRNA from 1 species
UCCGUAGGCGGACUAAUAAGUCAGGGGUGAAAUCCAACAGCUUAACUGUUGAACUGCCUUUGAUACUGUUAGUCUUGAAUUAUAUGGAAGUAGAUAGAAUGCGUAGUGUAGCGGUGAAAUGCUUAGAGAUUACACAGAAUACCGAUUGCGAAGGCAGUCUACUACGUAUAUAUUGACGCUAAUGGACGAAAGCGUGGGGAGCGAACAGGAUUAGAUACCCUGGUAGUCC